rnacentral:ncRNA from 1 species
GAGAAACGACAUAUGUUCUUUCGUAUAAUCCCGGGAAUUGGCCCGGGAGUCUCUACGAGAUCACCGUAAUGAUCUGGCUACGAAUUUAGAAGAGAUGAUG